GUGCCUUAAACUCAUGAGUAAGGAAAAUAUACGAGCCUUGGUGACGCUUGGCUUAAUUUAAAAAAUUUAGGUUAUGCCUAAAUGAUUUUUUAAUAAUUUUUUGAGGGGUACAGGCCGUCCCGAAAGUUCGCGCCUACUUUGCGCUUUUUGAACUUGGGUGAAGCGGUCUACCCC